GUUUCCAGCAGGAUGGAGCCUCUCCCUCUGGAAUGCUGCCAGUUGCCAGAGCAGGGAAAUUGGGAUGUGUGAAUCACGCACCUGCUCUCAAAGUCUUCCACAAGGAGGUGCCUUCUGAUAGAGCAAUGGGCUGAUCAAAAAGGAGAGACGUUGAAGAGAUACGGUGAAAAACAAAAAAA